ACUCAUGCUGCCCGGAACAACAACAAACGCUUGAAUUAGCCAAACGCUAACACUACGUUUACAUUUAUUCUUAUUUCUUGUUAGUGCUGUACCUCUUUGUUGGUCGAAAUGUCCGGAAAGGCCAAGGAUAUCCUACAGAUGGACCUGUAUGGUUUACUGGGCAUUGAAAGCACCGCGACAACGAAGGAGAUCAAGAAAGCUUAUCGACAGAAAGCCUUGACAUGCCAUCCGGACAAAAACCCGGACAACCCAAAAGCAGCUGAGCUCUUCCACCAGUUGUCCCAGGCUCUCGAGGUGCUAACUGACGCUGCUGCCAAGGCUGCCUAUGACAAGAUUUGUGCUGCCAAGAAACAAGCAGAAGAAAGAAACAGGAAACUUGAUGAUAAGAGAAAGAAAAUUAAGCUCGACUUGGAGGCCAGAGAGCGACAAGCAGAAGCUCAGAGCCAGGAGGAGGUGCGAAUCACUAGAACACUUGAAGAAGAGAUUGCCCGUUUGAGGGAGGAGGGAUCCAGGCAGCUUGAGGAGGAACAGAGGCUCAUCAGGGAGCAGAUCCAGAGGGAAAGGGAAGCACAGCAGCAGCAAACAGGAGACUACACUCAGAAAAACUCAGGAGUGGAGAGAUAUUCCAAGAGCAGCGUGACCCCCAAAUUGAAGUUGAAGUGGAAGUCUAAAAAAGAUGAUGAAACAAAUGGAGGCUACUCUCAAGACGUUCUGUUGAGACUUCUACAAAAGUAUGGGGAUGUUUUGAAUGUGAUUCUAUCGAGUAAGAAGAAAGGAAGUGCUGUGGUUGAAUUUGCAACAGUGAGAGCAGCUGAGCUGGCUGUUAAGAAUGAAAGAGGCCUGAGUGGAAACCCCUUGAAGAUUUCUUGGGUUGAAGGACAGCCCGAGGUUAUUGCCCCGGAAUCUCAGCCUGGCCAGUUCACGUCUUCACAGGGCUCCCUGACAAAUGAGCGGGACUAUGAGAGUGUGGUGAUGAUGAGGAUGAGGCAGGCCGCUGAGCGACAGAGACUCAUAGAACAAAUGCAAAGAGAGGACGAGGAGGAGGCCGACAGGUCAUAGCACAGCAGGACCAACCUUGAACGUAGGAUGACUGAGGGAGAUACAGAGUAGAGGAGAAGUGAGGGCUCCUGCAGGAUUCGAUGUGAAGCCACGUGGUCCCAGAGUGCUCACUCAUGCAAGAAGUGAUCAAGUUUCCAAUAUAACAGUGAGUGAAGAAACCAAUCCCCCUCCUUCCCGAGUGCAUCCCCACCUCGUUGGAUGGGC